rnacentral:lncRNA from 1 species
CAGCGCUGUAUUACUUGACAAUUCUGCACCACUUAGCUAUGGAGAUAUGCUACAGGGUAUUCCUUCAUGAAAGAGUUGUUCUGAAGCCUUACAUGCUAGUAAAAUGAGAUGAAUAGGCUCAUGUUGUCAUGAAUCUCCCUUCCUGAAGUAUGAAAAGGUACCAAAAAAAGAGGACAAAAGAAACAGGCCUAGAAGGUAAGGACAAGUUGACUUCACUCAGACAAAACAGAAUAUUUCAAAUAAAGAAAGAAAUGAGAGGAGUAGAUAAAAGUGAUGAAUUGAUGAGUAUCCCCUGGCUUUUUUUCAGAAUCGUCUAUCUGCUCAGAUUCACAUAGAUGAAGGAGAACAAGGCAGGUGAUGUUGUACUGAUGCCUUAAGGAGAUUAAAGUCAUGGGUUUGAGGAAUGCUGGAACAUGUGGAAUAAACAAUCUGAGUCUUCUUUCUUCCA